AUGCCCUCACCAUACCAGGAUUUAGAGACCACAAUAGCCGCUUGCCGCUUGAGACGAGAUCUAGAAGUUGCCGAAGAAACAUCGUUGGAGCAUCACCUCACGCAAAUGCCCUCAUCGUUGGAGCAUGACCUCACCACCGGAGCGGAGAGUCGAAGAAGGCGGACCAUGAUGCAGAACAACAUGGAAGAAAAUGUCCAAGCCGUCGCACUAAUAGAUGGCCAAUUGGACUCCUUGAUAGACACACCAACUGCCAAGAUUCAAAAUGAACCAACAGCCAACAGAUCUUGCGACAAAAACUCUUACAAACCCUUCAUGGAGGCCGGAUCAGACAUCAUCGAGGUAGGAGAUGUCAGAGAGACCUUAUUUCAACACACCAUCGUCUCCACCACCUCAUCGACGUCGCCAGGGGAACAAAACCUAAGGAAAAGAUAA
rnacentral:rRNA from 1 species